rnacentral:rRNA from 1 species
UACGUAGGGGGCAAGCGUUGUCCGGAUUUAUUGGGCGUAAAAGGCUUGUAGGUGGCCACGCCAAGUCGGAUGUGAAAUCUCCCGGCUCAACUGGGAGGGGUCAUUCGAUACUGGCGGGCUCGAGGCCGGUAGGGGGAAGUGGAAUUCCCGGUGUAGUGGUGGAAUGCGUAGAUAUCGGGAGGAACACCAGUGGCGAAGGCGGCUCUCUGGGACGGUACUGACGCUGAGACGCGAAAGCGUGGGGAGCGAACAGG